GUGGAGGGGCGGCGGGGGAUCUCACCGGGUCUCUUCCCCACCUCCGUGGUCUGCCUGCCCGUCCCGCCAUCAGCCACCGCGUCACCGCACCGACCAGAUCCAUGGCGUUAGUCGCGCCGUGCUUUGUGGUUCUACUCCGUCAGAGUUAGGAUGGGGGGUAGGAGCAGCUCCGUCGAGCUUCUGCUGGCGACGGCGAGAUACUUCAGUGCAUCCGGAUCCCCGGCGUUUCGUCUUCUCACCGUCAUCCCUUCUCUGCCAGUUGCCAUCCACCAGGAGGAGAGGGGAGAAACUCCCAGCACCCUUGCACUUUCUGACAUGUACGAGUGCAGUGCGCUAGUCGCGUUGGUGCAGCCCGCUGGCAUCCAGCAGGGGAUGCAGCUCUUCGGUGGGUGAAGUGCGGUCCACGCCGAGCGCCAAUGCAGUGCUGUGCCCCUUGGUGGUUAUGAAAAAAAGCAUGCAGUUUGUUUCGAAUUGGGUCGCGGCUCACUUCCUCCGAUGCAAAAUUCAAAUUGCACUUGUUCCUGCAUGGUGUCGCGUGUUCACAAAAAAAAAUUGCAUCGGCACUUGCAGUGCAUUUUGCUGUCGCGUGCGGUUCACUACGCUGGCCUCGCAGUUGAGAUGAAAUUAUAAAGAGAAAAUGCUAGGAAAAAAAUAAUGCAACUCCCUUUGUCGCUAUUGCAAUGCGGUUCAUUUUGUAGUGAGUCAAAGUGGUUCACUUUGUAAAGCAAAAAGAUUGUCGAAAAGAAGUAUGAA